UACAGAGGGUGCAAGCGUUGUUCGGAAUUACUGGGCGUAAAGCGUGCGCAGGCGGUUCGUCGUGUCUGAUGUGAAAGCCCCGGGCUCAACCUGGGAAUGGCAUUGGAAACUGGCGGACUAGAGUGUGGCAGAGGGGGGUGGAAUUCCGCGUGUAGCAGUGAAAUGCGUAGAGAUGCGGAGGAACACCGAUGGCGAAGGCAGCCCCCUGGGCUAACACUGACGCUCAGGCACGAAAGCGUGGGGAGCAAACAGG
rnacentral:rRNA from 1 species